AUGUUUUCUUGUUUACGAAGAUAAUCUUAUUAGUUACCCAUAAUGCAGUAAAUAUUCAUAGUUUUGUCCAGUUUUCCAACCACUUAUUUCUGAUUUUGCAGGUUCUCCAAAAUUUUUCUUCAGACUUAAGAGUGAGAGCGUGGAUAUCUGAUUUUUCAGAUAUCCUUUCUCAGUGGAAAAUGGAAGUCACCGGGAAUGUAUUCUUGGCCCGAAGUACUACAAAGAAAAGAAAGGGGUUCCUGUUCCAGAUCACCUGACUGACCAUAUGAACCCCAGGAAGAGACUGUGUUACAGACACAAAGAAAAGUGGUUGCCCAGCUACAUUCUCUGUUAAAUGUAUCCAGGUAUACCCUGGAUAUUCAAUUGAGUCAGAGGGGGCUCAUCCUAAUAUUAAGAAAAAGGUUUUGGAAAGCCUGAGAGGCUUUGGUGUCAUCAAACCAGCCCACAAGCUUUCUUCGAUUUCAUGUGGUUGCUUCACCAGUAGGCACACACACACACACACACACA